rnacentral:rRNA from 1 species
AGGACGAACGCUGGCGGCGUGCUUAACACAUGCAAGUCGAGCGGAAAGGCCCUUCGGGGUACUCGAGCGGCGAACGGGUGAGUAACACGUGAGUAAUCUGCCCCUAGCUCUGGGAUAGCUCCGGGAAACCGGGAUUAAUACCGGAUACGACCACCUUAGACAUCUUUUGUGGUGGAAAGAAUUUCGGCUAGGGAUGAGCUCGCGGCCUAUCAGCUUGUUGGUGGGGUGAUGGCCUACCAAGGCGACGACGGGUA